rnacentral:rRNA from 1 species
UACAGAGGUCUCAAGCGUUGUUCGGAUUCAUUGGGCGUAAAGGGUGCGUAGGCGGCGAGGUAAGUCGGAUGUGAAAUCCCGGGGCUCAACCCUGGAACUGCAUUCGAUACUGCCUUGCUUGAGUACUGGAGAGGAGACUGGAAUUUACGGUGUAGCAGUGAAAAUGCGUAGAUAUCGUAAGGAAGACCAGUGGCGAAAGGCGGAGUCUCUGGACAGUUACUGACGCUGAGGCACGAAAGGCCAGGGGGAGCAAAACGGGG